UACAGAGGUGGCAAGCGUUGUUCGGAAUUACUGGGCGUAAAGCGCGCGUAGGCGGCUCGGAAAGUCGGUCGUGAAAUGCCGGGGCUCAACCCCGGGACUGCGUCCGAUACUUCCGGGCUGGAGGUAGGUAGGGGAGAUCGGAAUUCCUGGUGUAGCGGUGAAAUGCGUAGAUAUCUGGAGGAACACCGGUGGCGAAGGCGGCGAUCCUGGACCGGCAUUGACGCUAAGCAGCGAAAGCCAGGGGAGCAAACGGGAUUAGAAACCCCCAG
rnacentral:rRNA from 1 species